AGAAAUUCCUGUCAUUAUUCUUUUUCUUUUAUUGAAGACUAUUAGUCUAUUAUAUUUCUACGCAUCCUUGAUCAUGUUAAAUUUAUUUCCUCAUCUUCAAAUUCUUCAAAUUCCUCACUAGCUUUUGGCCUUUUAUCAUUCUGCAGGUUACAAACAGUUGAGGAGAUGUUCUCCAAUGUAGUCAUUACAUGCCUAUUGUUCGUCCAGAAGGAAAGGCUUUGCCUUGUGUAUUCUAUUGCCAUGGAAACAAGUUAGAAAAUAAAUGUGGAUGAGUAGAGAUUGUUCUUAUAGAAAAAUGGAUGCAGGGCAGAUGUCAGUGAAGCGGCUAUAAUAUUGUUGCCUUCAAGCAUUACUGUUUUCACCCUUGAUUUCUCAGGGUCUGGACUAUCUGGAGGAGAGCAUGUCACAUUAGGGUGGAAUGAACAAUUUGAGGUGGAAUAAGUUGCAAGAUGUCAUUCCUCUUGAAAUAGAUGAACUAAAGAGUCUAACCCAUCUAUACUUGAGUUUCAAUAAUUUGAAAGGAGAAAUCCCCAAAGAAUUAGCUAAUCUUCCUCUGCUACGUUGCCUCUAUCUACAUGAAAAUCGUUUUAUUAGGCGAAUUCCACCAGAAUUGGGCACUCUGCAACAACUCUGACAUUUGUAAAUUUCAUGUUCUAUUCCCUACAGUAUUUGUAUGCUUUACUAUUUGUAUCUCAUUGCAGAUAAUCUCUCUGUGAGAACCAUGUUUUCAUAGGGAUGUUGGUAACAAUCAUUUGGUGGGAACUAUUAGGGAACUAAUAUGUAUUGAGGGAUGCUUUCCAUCUCUUCGCAACUUUUAUCUGAAUAAUAACUACCUUACGGGUGGAAUCCCAGCUCAGCUAGCAAACUCGACUAAUUUGGAAAUCUUGCA